CGUAGCUGUUGACUUUUAAGUGAACAUAAAUAUGUCUUUAUUACCAAUAAAAAGGAUUAGAAAUGCAAGUUUUGGUUAAUUGCAAAACAAAAAUUUAAGAAAUGAUAGCGAUCAUGAAAAUAUCUAUAAUUUUAAUCGAAAAAGURUUAUUACAAUUCCUGAAGAUAAACGAAUUAUACAUUUUUUUAAUUGGAGAGUUAUGUUAAAUGAAGAGUAUCACUUGAUUAUUACUGGAACCUCAGAUUGUCAACCCAUAAAUAAAAGAUUGACUGCCACAAAAGUCGAAUCAAUGUUUAAUAACAUAUAUCAUCUCAAUGGAAAACUUGCAGAUUGUUGGAAGGAAUAACCGAUUUUUAUUCGAUUUAAAUUUCAAAAUGGUUUUCCUGAGGAUUGGAAAAGUGUAACAGAUUCUUGGAAAGUAUUGGUUAAGCGAGGUUUCUACAAUGAUUUUCAUCAGUAUACAUUGAAAUGUAUGAAAAAAGCACGAACACAAAAUGCCUUUGAAUUCAAAGUACAUUUUUGUUCUUUUUGUCGUCAAAAAUGCAAUAGCUUGAUUCUAGA